CUCCUGCUGCCGCAGCUCCAGCCGCUGCCGCUCGAUCAGCUCGGGCUCCGACUCCAGCGCGUCGAAGACCGCGGCGCCCACCAGCAGGUACUGACUGAUGGCUUCUGGGUCAUAGAAGCGGGGCUCCCUGAAGCUUCUCUGAAAAUUCACGGCCCCCACGCUCUGGGCCCCAGGGCGCAUCUUCAUGGGGCAGGGGAGACAACUGGAGUGAAACAAAAAGGCUGGAAAAUGCUUUGGAUCCCAACCAGCCAGAGGAUGCGCCAGUGGAAAAUUCCUGCUGUGUGUCAGAGGCCCACCUGGCCCGGGGGACAGCCAGCCAAACGCACAGGCCCCAGAGCGUGUUUAGACAGCGCUUUCCUGCCUCGGCCAGAGCUCACCCUGGCCCUCACCAACGCUCAUCCUGGGAAAGUAGGGUGGGCCAGGUCCUCACCUAGGCUCAGGAAAGCUUCUGCAACUCCGUAUCUGGAGCAGGGUCUUCGGGACAGCGGCGUGAACUUUGAUAGAAAAGAUGGGCAGUAGGAGCCCCAGGUCUGCCCUGAACCCGUCUCUGGGACCCAGGAGUAACCGUGUCCUCUCCAUGGACCUCAGGCUCCUCAUCUAUGCAACACAUGGGGUGGACAAGGACAUCUAAGGAGCCUUCACCAGCCCCACCCUUCUGCUGGUGCAGAUCCACAGUCUCUAAGGGAUCCCACAUCUGCCUCUGGAGAGGCCAAGGCUCCUUUCCUGGGCAGAACCAGGGGGGCAACUCUCAGAAGCUGCCGUCAGAGACUUAAGCUCAGCCUCCGAGGAAGGUGGCCCAGCGGCUGUCUGUAACUGGGACACAUGCCUUUGAGAGCGUUCGCAGCACCCACCAAGGCUCGCCGGUGCGGGGGUGAUGUAUCUGGGAGGAGAAAAAGAUAACCCUGAGGUCAAACCCACCCUUUGCAAAGCGCCUGCUGCCCAGGUUCUGCCCAGAAGCCAGUGCAGGAAAGUAAUUUGGGCAAGAAUGACUUUUCUUCAUCCUGUAGAUGAGGACAAUGACACAGAGGUGCUAAGCGGGGCCCAAGUCUGAACCCGGAUCUUUGUACUCUUCACCUUAGACUCUGUCCACGACCCUCAGCUGCCCUCUCACAGGCCAGGCAAUUUACAAUCUCAGAAAUAAGAGGAUCCCAGUGCCAGGAAGAAUGUUACAGAUCCCCUGUCAGUAACACAAGCCCCUCAUGUGACCGACAAGGAAACUGCUGCCCGGAGAAGGGAAUGGACAAGCCCAAGGUCACUCAGUCAGUUAUGGUCAAGCUGGACUUUGGAUCCCAGAUCUCUGGAUUCCUCAUCUGCAUAUCUCUCACUGGAUCAAACUGCCUUUAGACCCGUGCACUGGGGUGGGACUGUCCUAUCCGCAGGGCAUGGCUGCUGCCCAGUGGGAGGGGAUAGGAUGGUUACUGGGGCAACCUCCACUUGUCCACCCUGAGGAGAGAGGAUAUAAAAAUAAUGCUACCUGCUCUUCCAGUUCAUCAAGUUAUAUGAAACUGUCUUGGGCAUGCUAAAGCAUUUGUAAAUGUAAGUCACUGACAUUUUGUCAAACAGCAAACCCUGAAGAGCCAGAUCUUCCUGCAACAGAGGAACAGGGGCAACAGAGCACCGGGAUUCAUGGGCCAGGACUGAAUCCAGUUCCACAAUCCCCAUGGCCCUGCUCAUC